rnacentral:rRNA from 1 species
AGACGGGGGAUGCUAGCGUUGUUCGGAAUUACUGGGCGUAAAGGGCGCGUAGGCGGCUCUGCGAGUCGGGCGUGAAAUCCCGGGGCUCAACCCCGGAACGGCGCUCGAUACUGCGGGGCUGGAGACCGGAAGAGGAGGGUGGAAUUCCCAGUGUAGAGGUGAAAUUCGUAGAUAUUGGGAGGAACACCGGUGGCGAAAGCGGCUCUCUGGUCCGGUACUGACGCUGAGGCGCGAAAGCGUGGGGAGCAAACAGGAUUAGAAACCCUAGUAGUCC